rnacentral:rRNA from 1 species
CCUACGGGGUGCAGCAGUGGGGAAUAUUGCACAAUGGGGGAAACCCUGAUGCAGCGACGCCGCGUGAGUGAAGAAGUAUUUCGGUAUGUAAAGCUCUAUCAGCAGGGAAGAAAAUGACGGUACCUGAGUAAGAAGCCCCGGCUAACUACGUGCCAGCAGCCGCGGUAAUACGUAGGGGGCAAGCGUUAUCCGGAUUUACUGGGUGUAAAGGGAGCGUAGACGGCAGCACAAGUCUGGAGUGAAAUGCCGGGGCUUAACCCCGGAACUGCUUUGGAAACUGUGCAGCUAGAGUGCAGGAGAGGUAAGUGGAAUUCCUAGUGUAGCGGUGAAAUGCGUAGAUAUUAGGAGGAACACCAGUGGCGAAGGCGGCUUACUGGACUGUAACUGACGUUGAGGCUCGAAAGCGUGGGGAGCAAACAGGAUUAGAUACCCGGGUAGUC